ensembl:misc_RNA 7SK 7SK RNA
AGAUGUGAGGGCGAUCUGGCUGUGACACCUGUCACCGCAUUGAUUGCCAGGGUCGAUUUGGCUGACCUGGCUGGUUAGGUGGGUGUCCCCUUCCCCACUGCUCUAUGUGUGUCCCUCCCAAAGCUGCACAAUAGGUCGAAGAGGGCGACCUUCCCCUUUAGAAAAGGGAUAGAGGAGGACUGUUCUUCUGUCAAGGGUAUACUAGUAGCUGUGCUCCCCUUCUAGAACCUUCAACCCAAGGUCCGUUUGUAGAAUGUAGGGUAAUCAAGCUUCCAAGACUCUAGACACAUCCAAAUGAGGUGCAGCAUGUGACACUCUGCCUUCCUUG